UGCCCACCGGGUGUGAAGCUGGUCAAAGAUCCGGCGUUUUAUCCGGUUAAGCCCAUACGGACAGGCGGGGCAGCUGCCGA
rnacentral:sRNA from 19 species